AUUGAACGCUGGCGGCAGGCCUAACACAUGCAAGUCGAACGAGUGGCGGACGGGUGAGUAAUGUAUGGGAAACUGCCUGAUGGCGGGGGAUAACUACUGGAACCGGUAGCUAAUACCGCAUACUAUCAGAUGUGCCCAGAUGGGAUUAGCUUGUUGGUGGGGUAAUGGCUCACCAGGGCGACGAUCCCUAGCUGGUCUGAGAGGAUGACCAGCCACACUGGAACUGGGACACGGUCCAGACGCGUACGGGAGGCAGCAGUGGGAAAUAUUGCAAAAUGGGCGCAAGCCUGAUGCAGCCAUGCCGCGUGUAUGAAGAAGGCCUUCGGGUUGUAAAGUACUUUCAGCGGGGAGGCGUUACCGGCAGAAGAAGCACCGGCUAACUCCGUGCCAGCAGCCGCGGUAAUAC
rnacentral:rRNA from 1 species